UACGUAGGGGGGCGAGCGUUGUCCGGAAUCAUUGGGCGUAAAGCGCGUGUAGGCGGUUCAGUAAGUCUGCUGUGAAAGUCCAGGGCUCAACCCCCGGGAGGCGGGUGGAUACUGUCAAGCUCGAGUCCGGAAGAGGAGUGUGGAAUUCCUGGUGUAGCGGUGAAAUCGCAGAUAUCAGGAGGAACACCAAUGGCGAAGGCAGCACUCUGGGACGUGA
rnacentral:rRNA from 1 species